UACGUAGGGGGCUAGCGUUGUCCGGAAUCAUUGGGCGUAAAGCGCGCGUAGGCGGCCCGGUAAGUCCGCUCUGAAAGUCCAGGGCUCAACCCUGGAAAGCGGGUGGAUACUGCCGGGCUAGAAUCCGGAAGAGGCGAGUGGAAUUCCUGGUGUAGCGGUGGAAUGCGUAGAUAUCGAGAGGAACACCUGCGGCGAAGGCGGGUUGCUGGGCUGACACUGACGCUGAUGCGCGAAAGCUAGGGGAGCGAACGGG
rnacentral:rRNA from 1 species